ACUCAAAUGAAUUGACGGGGGCCCGCACAAGCAGCGGAGCGUGUGGAUUAAUUCGAUGCAACGCGCAGAACCUUACCUAGGCUUGACAUGGCACGUUCAUCCACCGAAAGGUGGUGCCCGCAAGGGGAGUGUCACAGGUGCUGCAUGGCUGUCGUCAGCUCGUGCCGUGAGGUGUUGGGUUAAGUCCCGCAACGAGCGCAACCCCCGUCCCCAGUUGCCGUUUCUGGGGAGACUGCCGGGCGAACCCCGGAGGAAGGUGGGGAUGACGUCAAGUCCGCAUGGCCCUUACGUCUAGGGCGUCACACACGCUACAAUGGCCGGUACAGCGGGACGCCACUUCGUGAGAAGGAGCCAAUCCCCCAAAGCCGGCCCCAGUACGGAUCGUAGGCUGCAACCCGCCUGCGUGAAGUCGGAGUUGCUAGUAACCGCGCGUCAGCACAGUGCGGUGAAUGCGUUCCCGGGCCUUGUACACACCGCCCGU
rnacentral:rRNA from 1 species